rnacentral:tRNA from 1 species
GGGUAUAUAGCUCAAGGGGUAGAGCACAUGCUUAGCAUGCACGAGGUCCUGGGUCCAAUGCCCGGUACUGCCU